AAAGUAGCGGAAGGCAGGGUAACGUGGAGCAGCCGGUGUCUGGGGGUCACAGGCGAGGUGGGAGGAGAGAAAACAGAAUAAAAGUAGCGGAAGGCAGGGUAACGUGGAGCAGCCGGUGUCUGGGAGUCACGGGUGAGGUGGGAGGAGAGAAAACAGAAUAAAAGGAGCGGAAGGCAGGGUAACAUGGAGCAGCCGGUGUCUGGGAGUCACGGGUGAGGUGGGAGGAGAGAAAACAGAAUAAAAGUAGCGGAAGGCAGGGUAACGUGGAGCAGCCGGUGUCUGGGAGUCACGGGUGAGGUGGGAGGAGAGAAAACAGAAUAAAAGGAGCGGAAGGCAGGGUAACAUGGAGCAGCCGGUGUCU